GACGUAGGGGGCCAGCGUUGUUCGGAAUUACUGGGUGUAAAGGGUUCGUAGGCGGUGCGGCAAGUUGGGAGUGAAAUCUCUGGGCUUAACCCAGAGGCUGCUUCCAAAACUGCUGUGCUUGAGUGUGGGAGAGGCGCGUGGAAUUGCAGGUGUAGCGGUGAAAUGCGUAGAUAUCUGGAGGAACACCGGUGGCGAAGGCGACAUCCUGGACCGGUAUUGACGCUGAGGCGCGAAAGCCAGGGGAGCAAACGGG
rnacentral:rRNA from 1 species